rnacentral:rRNA from 1 species
UGGGGAAUAUUGGACAAUGGGGGGAACCCUGAUCCAGCCAUGCCGCGUGUGUGAAGAAGGCCUUAUGGUUGUAAAGCACUUUAAGCGAGGAGGAGGGUACUGGUAUUAAUACUACCAGCUACUGGACGUUACUCGCAGAAUAAGCACCGGCUAACUCUGUGCCAGCAGCCGCGGUAAUACAGAGGGUGCGAGCGUUAAUCGGAUUUACUGGGCGUAAAGCGUGCGUAGGCGGCUAAUUGAGUCGGAUGUGAAAUACCCGAGCUUAACUUGGGAAUUGCAUUAGAUACUGGUUAGCUAGAGUGUGGGAGAGGAUGGUAGAAUUCCAGGUGUAGCGGUGAAAUGCGUAGAGAUCUGGAGGAAUACCGAUGGCGAAGGCAGCCAUCUGGCCUAACACUGACGCUGAGGUACGAAAGCAUGAGGAGCAAACAGG